GACUCUCGGCAACGGAUAUCUCGGCUCUUGCAUCGAUGAAGAACGUAGCGAAAUGCGAUACUUGGUGUGAAUUGCAGAAUCCCGUGAACCAUCGAGUCUUUGAACGCAAGUUGCGCCCGAGACCUUCUGGUCGAGGGCACGUCUGCCUGGGCGUCA
rnacentral:rRNA from 1 species